GCCGUUGGUAGACGAGUGUGUGUGUUUGGUGUGGUGUAAGAGGGAGGAGGUGAGAGAUAGCUGCCCGUCUUUUUUAGGGCACUUCGGGCAGUGUCUUCAUCCGUAAAUAUCUAACUUUUUGGGUUCACAAGUUGGAAAGUUGUCAAUGAUGCCACAUCAGCUCAGGUGGUUGAAUGACAACUCAUAAGUGAUGGAAUGCCAGCUCAUAGAAUUCAGUUCGAGUGUUAGUUAGUUAGUUUUUCAUGUAUAUAAUCAAACAACAUAUUGUCAUGUAUUCAUUCAUUCAGUUUUCUUCUCAACAUUAUGUGAAAUACAACACUCUCUCUCUAGCUUGA